rnacentral:rRNA from 1 species
GAAAUUCGAGCUAAUACCGCAUAAGAUCUACAAUUUUGAAAGUAGUAGAUGAAAGAUGGCCUCUCCUNGGAAGCUAUCACCGAAGGAUGAGCCUGCGUAGCAUUAGCUUGAUGGUGGGGUAAUGGCCUACCAUGGCUGCGAUGCUUAGCGGGUCUGAGAGGAUGAUCCGUCACACUGGAACUGAGACACGGUCCAGACUCCUACGGGAGGCAGCAGUAGGGAAUAUUGCGCAAUGGGCGAAAGCCUGACGCAGCAAUGCCGCGUGUGUGAGGAAGGCCCUCGGGUUGUAAAGCACUGUCAAAGUGGAAAAACGGCAUAAGGGGUAAUAUCCCUUAUGAUUGAUGGUACACUUAAAGGAAGCACCGGCUAACUUCGUGCCAGCAGCCGCGGUAAUACGAAGGGUGCAAGCGUUGUUCGGAUUUAUUGGGCGUAAAGCGCGCGCAGGCGGAUAAAUUAAGUCAGGUGUGNAAUCUCGAAGGCUCANCUUCGAACCUGCGCCUGAAACUGAUCC